AUUGAACGCUGGCGGCAUGCCUUACACAUGCAAGUCGAACGGCAGCACGGACUUCGGUCUGGUGGCGAGUGGCGAACGGGUGAGUAAUGCAUCGGAACGUGCCAUUGAGUGGGGGAUAACGUAGCGAAAGUUGCGCUAAUACCGCAUAUUCUGUGAGCAGGAAAGCAGGGGACCGCAAGGCCUUGCGCUCUUUGAGCGGCCGAUGUCAGAUUAGCUAGUUGGUGAGGUAAAGGCUUACCAAGGCGACGAUCUGUAGCGGGUCUGAGAGGAUGAUCCGCCACACUGGAACUGAGACACGGUCCAGACUCCUACGGGAGGCAGCAGUGGGGAAUUUUGGACAAUGGGGGCAACCCUGAUCCAGCCAUGCCGCGUGAGUGAAGAAGGCCUCGGUU
rnacentral:rRNA from 1 species